rnacentral:lncRNA from 1 species
GCGCGGGGCCCGGCGGGCGCGGGCGAGGCGCUCCCUCCUCCCCGUGCGAGCGAGGAGGCGGUGGCCGAGGGUGGGAACCCAGCCCCGGCGGGAGCGCGCCGAGAGCCACCCGGCAGCCCUGCGCUUUGUUCCGUUCCGGGGCUGGAGGUGUGGCCGGCGUUGUGGCCCGUUCCGCGCUGGUCCUGCUGCGCUACGCUGCACCCGGCUGCACCCGGGCGGCGGCGGGCUCCGGCUGUGCGUGGCCUCUGUCCCUACCACCCGCUCUGGCGUAACGGUGUGCAGCGGAGAAGUCGCUCGUCACUCCGACCCAAGUAGGAGGGCCUGGCCGGCGCUCAGACAGACUCCUUUGAUUGUAGUCAUCCUGGGAGCAUCCUGAAGGGACAGAGACAGAAUCCAGAAUCUACAGC